UACGUAGGAUGCAAGCGUUGUCCGGAAUUACUGGGCGUAAAGCGCGCGCAGGCGGCUUUUUAAGUCCAUCGGUGAAAUGCCGGGGCUCAACCCCGAGCGUGCCGAGGAUACUGGAAGGCUGGAGACACGUAGAGGCAAGCGGAAUUCCGGGUGUAGCGGUGGAAUGCGUAGAGAUCCGGAAGAACACCGGAGGCGAAGGCGGCUUGCUGGGCGUGAUCUGACGCUGAGGCGCGAAAGCGUGGGGAGCGAACAGG
rnacentral:rRNA from 1 species